UGGGGAAUAUUGGACAAUGGGCGAAAGCCUGAUCCAGCCAUGCCGCGUGUGUGAAGAAGGCCUUAUGGUUGUAAAGCACUUUAAGUGGGGAGGAAAAGCUUAUGGAUAACACCCAUAGGUUCUGACGUUACCCACAGAAUAAGCACCGGCUAACUCUGUGCCAGCAGCCGCGGUAAUACAGAGGGUGCAAGCGUUAAUCGGAAUUACUGGGCGUAAAGCGAGCGUAGGUGGUUUAUUAAGUCAGAUGUGAAAUCCCUGGGCUUAACCUAGGAACUGCAUCUGAUACUGACAAACUAGAGUAGGUGAGAGGAAAGUAGAAUUCCAGGUGUAGCGGUGAAAUGCGUAGAGAUCUGGAGGAAUACCGAUGGCGAAGGCAGCUUUCUGGCAUCAUACUGACACUGAGGUUCGAAAGCGUGGGUAGCAAACAGGAUUAGAUACCCUGGUAGUCCACGCCGUAAACGAUGUCUACCAGUCGUUGGGUCUUUUAAAGGCUUAGUGACGCAGUUAACGCGAUAAGUAGACCGCCUGGGGAGUACGGCCGCAAGGUUA
rnacentral:rRNA from 1 species